UACGAAGGGGGCUAGCGUUGCUCGGAAUUACUGGGCGUAAAGCGCACGUAGGCGGCUUUCUAAGUCGGGGGUGAAAUCCUGGAGCUCAACUCCAGAACUGCCUUCGAUACUGGAAAGCUCGAGUCCGGGAGAGGUGAGUGGAACUGCGAGUGUAGAGGUGAAAUUCGUAGAUAUUCGCAAGAACACCAGUGGCGAAGGCGGCUCACUGGCCCGGUACUGACGCUGAGGCACGAAAGCGUGGGGAGCAAACAGG
rnacentral:rRNA from 1 species